rnacentral:rRNA from 1 species
UACGGAGGAUGCAAGCGUUAUCCGGAAUGAUUGGGCGUAAAGCGUCCGCAGGUGGCUGUGUAAGUCUGCUGUUAAAGAGUGAGGCUCAACCUCAUAAAGGCAGUGGAAACUACAUGGCUAGAGUGCGUUCGGGGCAGAGGGAAUUCCUGGUGUAGCGGUGAAAUGCGUAGAUAUCAGGAGGAACACCGGUGGCGAAGGCGCUCAUCUGGCCCAAUACUGACGCUGAGGCGCGAAAGCUAGGGGAGCAAACGGG